GGUGUCUGAAGCAGCAGUUUACUGCGGUCCUGAAUAUCCCCACCGAUGUGGUAUGGCAAACCACAGUUCGCAAAAGAUACAAAUUUACCACGUUCGAACAUGAUGAUUUCAGCGUCUUCACUCAGACGCCUUGCUCGUGCCGCUGCUGAUGCGCCUCCCGCGACCCCAC
rnacentral:antisense_RNA from 1 species